rnacentral:rRNA from 1 species
UGGGGAAUAUUGCACAAUGGGCGCAAGCCUGAUGCAGCCAUGCCGCGUGUAUGAAGAAGGCCUUCGGGUUGUAAAGUACUUUCAGCGGGGAGGAAGGCGAUAAGGUUAAUAACCUUGUCGAUUGACGUUACCCGCAGAAGAAGCACCGGCUAACUCCGUGCCAGCAGCCGCGGUAAUACGGAGGGUGCAAGCGUUAAUCGGAAUUACUGGGCGUAAAGCGCACGCAGGCGGUCUGUCAAGUCGGAUGUGAAAUCCCCGGGCUCAACCUGGGAACUGCAUUCGAAACUGGCAGGCUAGAGUCUUGUAGAGGGGGGUAGAAUUCCAGGUGUAGCGGUGAAAUGCGUAGAGAUCUGGAGGAAUACCGGUGGAGAAGGCGGCCGCCUGGACAAAGACUGACGCUCAGGUGCGAAAGCGUGGGGAGCAAACA